UGGGGAAUAUUGCGCAAUGGGCGAAAGCCUGACGCAGCAACGCCGCGUGCGGGAUGACGGCCUUCGGGUUGUAAACCGCUUUCAGCAGGGACGAAACUGACGGUACCUGCAGAAGAAGCACCGGCUAACUACGUGCCAGCAGCCGCGGUGAUACGUAGGGUGCGAGCGUUGUCCGGAAUUAUUGGGCGUAAAGAGCUCGUAGGCGGUCUGUCGCGUCGGAAGUGAAAACUCGGGGCUCAACCCCGAGCCUGCUUUCGAUACGGGCAGACUUGAGGAAUGUAGGGGAGAACGGAAUUCCUGGUGGAGCGGUGGAAUGCGCAGAUAUCAGGAGGAACACCAGUGGCGAAGGCGGUUCUCUGGACAUUAACUGACGCUGAGGAGCGAAAGCGUGGGGAGCAAACAGG
rnacentral:rRNA from 2 species